rnacentral:rRNA from 1 species
GUGCCAGCCGCCGCGGUAAUACGGAGGGUGCGAGCGUUGUCCGGAUUUAUUGGGUUUAAAGGGUGCGUAGGUGGCUUUUUAAGUCAGUGGUGAAAUACAGCCGCUCAACGGUUGAGGUGCCAUUGAUACUGAAGAGCUUGAAACAAGUGGAGGCUGCCGGAAUGGAUGGUGUAGCGGUGAAAUGCAUAGAUAUCAUCCAGAACACCGAUUGCGAAGGCAGGUGGCUACGUUUGAUUUGACACUGAGGCACGAAAGCAUGGGGAGCAAACAGGAUUAGAUACCCGUGUAGUCC